rnacentral:rRNA from 1 species
CUGAAACCGUGUACGUACAAGCAGUGGGAGCACGCUUAGGCGUGUGACUGCGUACCUUUUGUAUAAUGGGUCAGCGACUUAUAUUCUGUAGCAAGGUUAACCGAAUAGGGGAGCCGAAGGGAAACCGAGUCUUAACUGGGCGUUAAGUUGCAGGGUAUAGACCCGAAACCCGGUGAUCUAGCCAUGGGCAGGUUGAAGGUUGGGUAACACUAACUGGAGGACCGAACCGACUAAUGUUGAAAAAUUAGCGGAUGACUUGUGGCUGGGGGUGAAAGGCCAAUCAAACCGGGAGAUAGCUGGUUCUCCCCGAAAGCUAUUUAGGUAGCGCCUCGUGAAUUCAUCUCCGGGGGUAGAGCACU